AACGAACGCUGGCGGCAGGCUUAACACAUGCAAGUCGAACGCCCCGCAAGGGGAGUGGCAGACGGGUGAGUAACGCGUGGGAAUCUACCCAGUUCUACGGAAUAACCCAGGGAAACUUGGACUAAUACCGUAUACGCCCUACGGGGGAAAGAUUUAUCGGAAUUGGAUGAGCCCGCGUUGGAUUAGCUAGUUGGUGGGGU
rnacentral:rRNA from 1 species